GAUUUGAGUGCUUUUCUACCCCAAUUGAAGGGGCCUUUUUCUAGAAGGGAGGUUCACUCUUUUUGGUUGCCCCCAAGAAGCAGAUGGGCGUCUUUGCCUGCCAACAGGAACUUCUGCGAUUGACAUUAUUUUGGCGACGAGGGCCCUAAACCAACCCUUAUAAUAAGCACAUCUCAUCCAGAAGACGAAGCACGAAAGUACACAGCCUUCCUUUUCUUAUAAAGAGUACCAUGAUGAUAGGUGGGGCCACAAGGAUAACAUGAUUAUAUAAGCAGGCGUAUUAGUAGAAUUUAUAAUUGAUGCGAUACAGGCUAAUAGCGAAUGAGAGCAGCCGCCAACUAGGGUGUGCUUAAAUUCCUAUUGUCCCCCCUUUUUUUUAUUUGAUCCCGCGGUAUGUCACGACCCAUCUUUCUCUUCCCUUCACGUAAUUCCUCAUUCUGAAGCAAAAAAGGCUUCUGGAGAGAGGGGCACCCGUGGGCAGACAACCGGUCCUAUAAAAAGUAUAAGGAGGGGGGUUCACACAUAUGGCUGGUUCCCUUUGUAAAUCUGUAAACUUCAAUAGGAAAAUCCAUGGCAUAGUGAGUAGAUCCACAUCCAGAGUAGUGAUCAAACAAUUCUCACAAUCGAGAUUAGCAGGUAGGAAUGGAUAGCUGUGUUUGCAACCAAUUAGAACUAGAGAGCGUGAAGGAAACCAACCCUAUUGCAUAUUGCAAUGUGAUUUUGCGCCUCACUUGACGCUAGACGAUCUAUCCAUAUAGCCAGAAAGAUGCCUAUCAGGAUCCAGGGCUAGAUCUAGAGGAAGGCACUCGAGGUAGCAAUUGUGGAGAAUAGAGCCAAACUGCUAGUAAACAAGGNNN
rnacentral:lncRNA from 1 species